GUCCAUCUGACGAGUCUCACAGAAGACAAAAUGCGCAUCCUGGAU
rnacentral:hammerhead_ribozyme from 1 species